rnacentral:rRNA from 1 species
UACGAAGGGUGCAAACGUUGCCCGGAUUUAUUGGGCGUAAAGGGCGCGUAGGCGGCUUGGCAAGUGGAUUGUGAAAUCCCUCGGCUUAACCGAGGAACUGCCGUCCAAACUGCUUUGCUUGAGGCCGGGAGAGGCGAGUGGAAUUCCCAGUGUAGCGGUGAAAUGCGUAGAUAUUGGGAGGAACACCAGUGGCGAAGGCGGCUCGCUGGACCGGUUCUGACGCUGAUGCGCGAAAGCGUGGGGAGCAAACGGG